UACGGAGGAGGCAAGCGUUAUCCGGAAUUAUUGGGCGUAAAGCGUCCGCAGGUGGCACCUCAAGUCUGCUGUCAAAGACCGGGGCUUAACCCCAGAAAGGCAGUGGAAACUGAAGUGCUAGAGUGCAGUAGGGGUAGAGGGAAUUCCCGGUGUAGUGGUGGAAUGUGUAGAGAUCGGGAGGAACACCAGUGGCGAAAGCGGCUCUCUGGGACGGUACUGACGCUGAGACGCGAAAGCGUGGGGAGCGAACAGG
rnacentral:rRNA from 1 species